rnacentral:rRNA from 1 species
UGGGGAAUUUUGGACAAUGGGCGAAAGCCUGAUCCAGCAAUGCCGCGUGUGUGAAGAAGGCCUUCGGGUUGUAAAGCACUUUUGUCCGGAAAGAAAUCCUUGGCUCUAAUACAGUCGGGGGAUGACGGUACCGGAAGAAUAAGCACCGGCUAACUACGUGCCAGCAGCCGCGGUAAUACGUAGGGUGCAAGCGUUAAUCGGAAUUACUGGGCGUAAAGCGUGCGCAGGCGGUUUGCUAAGACCGAUGUGAAAUCCCCGGGGCUCAACCUGGGAACUGCAUUGGUGACUGGCAGGCUAGAGUAUGGCAGAGGGGGGUAGAAUUCCACGUGUAGCAGUGAAAUGCGUAGAGAUGUGGAGGAAUACCGAUGGCGAAGGCAGCCCCCUGGGCCAAUACUGACGCUCAUGCACGAAAGCGUGGGGAGCAAACAGGAUUAGAUACCCUGGUAGUCCACGCCCUAAAACGAUGUCAACUAGUUGUUGGGGAUUCAUUUCCUUAGUAACGUAGCUAACGCGUGAAGUUGACCGCCUGGGGAGUACGGUCGCAAGAUUAAAACUCAAAUGAAUUGACGGGGUCAUAGCUGUUUCCU